rnacentral:rRNA from 1 species
GAUGAACGCUAGCGGCAGGCCUAAUACAUGCAAGUCGAACGGUAAGGCCCUUUCGGGGGUACACGAGUGGCGGACGGGUGCGUAACGCGUAUGCAACAUGCCUUCCAGCGGGGGAUAUACCAGGGAAACUUGGCGCAAUACCCCAUAGAAUUACGGGACCGCAUGGUCUUGUGAUUAAAACUCCGGUGCUGGGAGAUUGGCAUGCGUGACAUUAGCUAGUUGGCGGGGUAACGGCCCACCAAGGCGACGAUGUCUAGCUGGUCUGAGAGGAUGAUCAGCCACACUGGGACUGAGACACGGCCCAGACUCCUACGGGAGGCAGCAGUAGGGAAUAUUGGACAAUGGGGGGAACCCUGAUCCAGCAAUGCCGCGUGCAGGAAGAAGGCCUCGGUU